GACAGAGGGGGCAAGCGUUGUCCGGAAUCAUUGGGCGUAAAGCGCGUGUAGGCGGCUCGGUAAGUCCGCUGUGAAAGUCAAGGGCUCAACCCUUGAAUGCCGGUGGAUACUGUCGGGCUAGAGUCCGGAAGAGGCGAGUGGAAUUCCUGGUGUAGCGGUGAAAUGCGCAGAUAUCAGGAGGAACACCGGUGGCGAAGGCGGGACUCUGGGCCGAUACUGACGCUGAGGAGCGAAAGCGUGGGGAGCAAACAGG
rnacentral:rRNA from 1 species